GACGAACGCUGGCGGCGUGCUUAACACAUGCAAGUCGAACGGAAAGGCCCUGCUUUUGUGGGUUGCUCGAGUGGCGAACGGGUGAGUAACACGUGAGUAACCUGCCCUUGACUUUCGGGUAACUCCACGAAACUCGGGCGCAUACCGGGUAGGAUCUUCUGCUGCAUGGUGGGGGUUGGAAAGAUUCGGCGGUUUGGGAUGGAUUCGAGGGAUAUCAGCUUGUUUGUGGGGUAGUGACGUACCAGGGCUUUGAGGGGUAGCCGGCCUGAGAGGGUGGACGGCGACAUUGGGACUGAGAUACGGACCAGAAUGCUACGGGAGGCAGUAGUGGGGAAUAUUGCAGAAUGGGCGGAAGCGUGAGGCAGCGACGUCGCGUGCGGGAUGACGGGCUACGGGUUGUAAACAGAUUUCGCCGGUGACGAAGCGUGAGUGACGGUAAUGGAUAAGAAAGCAACGGCUAACUACGUG
rnacentral:rRNA from 1 species